rnacentral:rRNA from 1 species
AACGCUAGCACAGGCUUAACACAUGCAAGUCGAGGGGCAUCAGGAAGAAAGCUUGCUUUCUUUGCUGGCGACCGGCGCACGGGUGAGUAACACGUAUCCAACCUGCCCUUUACUCGGGGAUAGCCUUUCGAAAGAAAGAUUAAUACCCGAUAGUACUUUUUUGAGGCAUCUUGAGAAAGUUAAAGAUUUAUUGGUGAUGGAUGGGGAUGCGUUCCAUUAGAUUGUUGGUGAGGUAACGGCUCACCAAGUCUUCGAUGGAUAGGGGUUCUGAGAGGAAGGUCCCCCACAUUGGUACUGAGACACGGACCAAACUCCUACGGGAGGCAGCAGUGAGGAAUAUUGGUCAAUGGGCGAGAGCCUGAACCAGCCAAGUAGCGUGAAGGAUGAAGGUCCUAUGGAUUGUAAACUUCUUUUAUAGUAGAAUAAAGUGAUCCACGUGUGGAUUUUUGUAUGUAUACUAUGAAUAAGGAUCGGCUAACUCCGUGCCAGCAGCCGCGGUAAUACGGAGGAUCCGAGCGUUAUCCGGAUUUAUUGGGUUUAAAGGGUGCGUAGGCGGAAAAAUAAGUCAGUUGUGAAAGUUUGCGGCUCAACCGUAAAAUUGCAGUUGAUACUGUUUUUCUUGAGUGUACAUAAGGUAGGCGGAAUUCGUGGUGUAGCGGUGAAAUGCUUAGAUAUCACGAAGAACUCCGAUUG